rnacentral:rRNA from 1 species
GUCCAUGCUGUAAACUAUGAGAACUUGCUGUUGGACGCAUAAAGGCGUUUAGUAGCGUAGCUAACGCGAUAAGUUCUCCGCCUGGGGAGUACGGCCGCAAGGCUAAAACUCAAAGGAAUUGACGGGGGCCCGCACAAGCGGUGGAGCAUGCGGUUUAAUUCGAUGCAACGCGAAGAACCUUACCUACUCUUGAAUCCACGGAAUCCUGCAGAGAUGCGGGAGUGCCUUCGGGAACCGUGAGACAGGUGCUGCAUGGCUGUCGU